UAUAGCUGUACCACCCUGAACAUGGCUGAUCUCAUCUGAUCUCGGAAGCUAAGCCCAGUUGGGUCUGGUAAGUACUUGAAUGCAAAAAAGUUCUAUAA
rnacentral:rRNA from 1 species